rnacentral:snRNA from 1 species
GCGUCAGCACAUAUGCUAAAACUGGAACGAUACAGAGGUUAGCAUGGCCCCUGCGCAAGGAUGAUAUGCAAAUUUGUGAAGCAUUCCAUAUUAAA